GAUGAACGCUGGCGGCGUGCCUAAUACAUGCAAGUCGAGCGAACAGACGAGGAGCUUGCUCCUCUGACGUUAGCGGCGGACGGGUGAGUAACACGUGGAUAACCUACCUAUAAGACUGGGAUAACUUCGGGAAACCGGAGCUAAUACCGGAUAAUAUAUUGAACCGCAUGGUUCAAUAGUGAAAGACGGUUUUGCUGUCACUUAUAGAUGGAUCCUCGCCGCAUUAGCUAGUUGGUAAGGUAACGGCUUACCAAGGCAACGAUGCGUAGCCGACCUGAGAGGGUGAUCGGCCACACUGGAACUGAGACACGGUCCAGACUCCUACGGGAGGCAGCAGUAGGGAAUCUUCCGCAAUGGGCGAAAGCCUGACGGAGCAACGCCGCGUGAGUGAUGAAGGUCUUCGGAUCGUAAAACUCUGUUAUUAGGGAAGAACAAAUGUGUAAGUAACUAGGCACGUCUUGACGGUACCUAAUCAGAAAGCCACGGAUAACUACGUG
rnacentral:rRNA from 1 species